UACAGAGGGUGCGAGCGUUAAUCGGAAUUACUGGGCGUAAAGCGUGCGCAGACGGUCACGUAAGUCGGGUGUGAAAGCCCCGGGCUCAACCUGGGAAUUGCAUUCGAGACUGCGUGGCUAGGGUGCGGAAGAGGGAAGCGGAAUUUCCGGUGGAGCGGUGAAAUGGCAUUGAGAUCGGAAAGAACACCAACGGCGAAAGCACUCUGCUGGGCCGACACUGACACUGAGAGACGAAAGCUAGGGGAGCAAAUGGG
rnacentral:rRNA from 1 species